AGCAAUCAAAGAGUUUUUUCACUCCACAUUUGAGUUUAUACGUGUUCUUGCCUCCAAGCUUCCAAACUUCCAAAGUGCUCAAGUGUUCUAGCUUUCCAAAGCUUCAAAAGCUCUUCAACUUCUUUUUCUAAUCUUCUUGUUCAUCUUUACAAGUAUAAAGUAUUGUUUGCUUAAUAUUUCACUCCUCUAAUCCCCUCUUGUGUGUGUCCACUUUGAUUGAGACGUUUGUCUCACCUUUAGGCUAGUAAAUUUCGAUAGUUAGUCAGGACUGGAUUAGCCCUUGUUUGGGUGAACCAGUAUAAAUUCUCUUAUGUUUUUCUUUGUUAACUUUAGUUUUUAUCUUUCAUAUAAAAUCAACUAAACAACACUUAAUUGAAAAGGAUCCCUCUUCCAGUUAUCUGGUCAAAUACAGAGGUUGACUACUUUAUGCAGGUCCCUUAUCCAGUUAUCUGGUUAACUAUCUGAGGUUAUAUUAAUUGCCUUAAAUUCUUUCAAGCUUUUAUUUAUCAAAUAUAUAUAUCCAGUUAUCUGGUCAUUUACUCUAUAACUUGUUUAUCAAAUAUAUAUCCAGUUAUCUGGUCAUUUACUUUAUAAUAUAACUUGUGUUUAUAAUAUAUUUAGUAUUCAUAUACUACAGUUAUUUAUAAAACACUAUCUAAUAAGUUGACU
rnacentral:lncRNA from 1 species